CUGUGUCCAAGGGCUGGGCUUUCAAAGGCAGUCGACUGGCCAUACCCACAAUGGACGGAGAGAUUUGAGAGAGAUAAUUAACUCGACUGGAGAUGACCCAGAUUCCUAAAUUCUGCCCCUGACCUUGACAUUGGGAAUUAAAGUGGGAUUGCGGAUAGAAGAAACAGGAAGCAGAAAACAGAUGUGACCUAGGAGCCCUAGGGAGCAGAAACCGCAGACAGCACAUAUGGGAGCAUGAACCAGGAUGAAGAAGGCACUUCUGCUUAUGUGCCCGAUGCGUAAUAGAUUUGAACGAGCUAAAUGAUACAGAAGAAAGACGUGCUAUUGUGUCUCAGUUAGACUCUUCUAACAACCCUAACCACUUCAUUGAAAAUGUCCCUAAUGAGCAUGUCCGGACAUCUAAGCGGGAAGUCUCUCCUGAAGAUAUCUCCCUUGAAGAUGUCCUCUUAAACAAAAAGGUCUCCAACUCUGAGUCCCCAGAGAAGGAAUCAAUGAGGAACCUACACCAUAAUAAUGAAAUCGUACAGCAUGAGGAAAGAGCCAGUGAGCAAUCAGAAACCAAUACCAAGAACUCCAAACAUGUCCCUGCAGUCACCACAGAAGGAAGACUUGCCAAGCUGGGCCUCAAAGUUGGAGAAGAGAUAGACCUAAUGCUGACCAAGAUCAAGAACAAGAUGAAAAACUAUUUUUCUUUGAGAUCUUAAUAUGGCGAUUGUGGGGCUGUCAUGCAAGGAUCCAGCACCUGGGGCAGGGCCCUCCAGUCCCUAAAGCCCCAUCCUACUGGGAUUUCUCCAAAUACCUGACGAGAUAUCCUGAUUAAACACUGCAUCCC
rnacentral:lncRNA from 1 species